rnacentral:rRNA from 1 species
UACAGAGGGUGCAAGCGUUGUCCGGAAUCAUUGGGCGUAAAGAGCGUGUAGGCGGCUUGGUAAGUCCGCUGUGAAAGUCCAGGGCUCAACCCUGGAAAAGCCGGUGGAAACUGUCAAGCUUGAGUCCGGAAGAGGCGAGUGGAAUUCCUGGUGUAGCGGUGAAAUGCGCAGAUAUCAAGGAGGAACACCAAUGGCGAAGGCAGCUCGCUGGGACGGUACUGACGCUGAGACGCGAAAGCGUGGGGAGCAAACAGG